CCUACGGGUGGCAGCAGUCGAGAAUCAUUCACAAUGGGGGAAACCCUGAUGGUGCGACGCCGCGUGGGGGAAUGAAGGUCUUCGGAUUGUAAACCCCUGUCAUGUGGGAGCAAAUUAAAAAGAUAGUACCACAAGAGGAGGAGACGGCUAACUCUGUGCCAGCAGCCGCGGUAAUACAGAGGUCUCAAGCGUUGUUCGGAAUCACUGGGCGUAAAGCGUGCGUAGGCUGUUUCGUAAGUCGUGUGUGAAAGGCGCGGGCUCAACCCGCGGACGGCACAUGAUACUGCGAGACUAGAGUAAGGGAGGGGGAACCGGAAUGCUCGGUGUAGCAGUGAAAUGCGUAGAUAUCGAGAGGAACACUCGUGGCGAAGGCGGGUUCCUGGACAUUAACUGACGCUGAGGCACGAAGGCCAGGGGAGCGAAAGGGAUUAGAUACCCCAGUAGUC
rnacentral:rRNA from 1 species